CGUAGGGGGCAAGCGUUGUCCGGAUUUAUUGGGCGUAAAGAGCUCGUAGGCGGUUCGGUAAGUCGGCUGUGAAAUCUCCACGCUCAACGUGGAGGGGUCAGUCGAAACUGCCGUGACUCGAGUCCGGUAGAGGAGUGUGGAAUUCCCGGUGUAGCGGUGAAAUGCGCAGAGAUCGGGAGGAACACCCGUAGCGAAGGCGGCACUCUGGGCCGGUACUGACGCUGAGGAGCGAAAGCGUGGGGAGCAAACAGGAUUAGAUACCCUGGUAGUCCACGCCGUAAACGUUGGGCACUAGGUGUGGGACUCUAUCGACGGGUUCCGUGCCGUAGCUAACGCAUUAAGUGCCCCGCCUGGGGAGUACGGCCGCAAGGCUA
rnacentral:rRNA from 1 species